UACGUAGGUGGAGAGCGUUGUCCGGAUUUACUGGGCGUAAAGGGAGCGUAGGCGGACUUUUAAGUGAGAUGUGAAAUACCCGGGCUCAACUUGGGUGCUGCAUUUCAAACUGAAAGUCUAGAGUGCAGGAGAGGAGAAUGGAAUUCCUAGUGUAGCGGUGAAAUGCGUAGAGAUUAGGAAGAACACCAGUGGCGGAGGCGAUUCUCUGGACUGUAACUGACGCUGAGGCUCGAAAGCGUGGGGAGCAAACAGGAUUAGAUACCCU
rnacentral:rRNA from 1 species